rnacentral:rRNA from 1 species
AGCGAACGCUGGCGGCAGGCUUAACACAUGCAAGUCGAGCGGGCCCUUCGGGGUCAGCGGCAGACGGGUGAGUAACGCGUGGGAACGUGCCCUUCGGUUCGGAAUAACUCAGGGAAACUUGAGCUAAUACCGGAUACGCCCUUAUGGGGAAAGGCUUGCUGCCGAAGGAUCGGCCCGCGUCUGAUUAGCUAGUUGGUGCGGUUAUGGCUCACCAAGGCGACGAUCAGUAGCUGGUCUGAGAGGAUGAUCAGCCACACUGGGACUGAGACACGGCCCAGACUCCUACGGGAGGCAGCAGUGGGGAAUCUUGGACAAUGGGGGCAACCCUGAUCCAGCCAUGCCGCGUGAGUGAUGACGGCCUUAGGGUUGUAAAGCUCUUUUCUCCGGGACGAUAAUGACGGUACCGGAGGAAUAAGCCCCGGCUAACUUCGUG